rnacentral:rRNA from 1 species
AGUAGUUUGAUCAUGGCUCGAGACGACGCUGGCGGCGUGCCUAACACAUGCAAGUCGAGCGAAUGAAGUUCCUUCGGGAACGGAUUUUAGCGGCGGACGGGUGAGUAACACGUGGGCAACCUACCUCAUAGAGGGGAAUAGCCUUCCGAAAGGGAGAUUAAUACCGCAUAAGAUUGUAGUACCGCAUGGUACAGCAAUUAAAGGAGCAAUCCGCUAUGAGAUGGGCCCGCGGCGCAUUAGCUAGUUGGUGAGGUAACGGCUCACCAAGGCGACGAUGCGUAGCCGACCUGAGAGGGUGAUCGGCCACAUUGGGACUGAGACACGGCCCAGACUCCUACGGGAGGCAGCAGGUGGGAAUAUUGCACAAUGGGGAAACCCUGAUGCAGCAACGCCGCGUGAGUGAUGACGGCCUUCGGGUUGUAAAGCUCUGUCUUCAGGGACGAUAAUGACGGUACCUGAGGAGGAAGCCACGGCUAACUACGUG